rnacentral:rRNA from 1 species
CCAAUAGCGUAUAUUAAAGUUGUUGCAGUUAAAAAGCUCGUAGUUGAAUUUCGGGGUUAGCAGGUUGGUCGUGCCUCUGGUAUGCACUGGCUUCGCUGAUUCCUCCUUUCUGAAGAACUUUAAUGCCAUUAAUUUGGUGUUGCAGGGAAACAGGACUGUUACUUUGAAAAAAUUAGAGUGUUUAAAGCAGGCUAACGCUUGAAUACAUUAGCAUGGAAGAAUGAAAUAGGACGUUCGAUCCUAUUUUGUUGGUUUCUAGGAUUGACGUAAUGAUUAAUAGGGAUAGUUGGGGGCAUUAGUAUUCAAUUGUCAGAGGUGAAAUUCUUGGAUUUAUUGAAGACUAACUACUGCGAAAGCAUUUGCCAAGGAUGUUUUCAUUAAUCAAGAACGAAAGUUAGGGGAUCGAAGACGAUCAGAUACCGUCGUAGUCUUAACCAUAAACUAUGCCGACUAGGGAUCGGAUGAUGUCAAUUUUUUAAUGACUCAUUCGGCGCCUUACG